AUUUGGUGUAUGUGCUUGGCUGA
rnacentral:piRNA from 5 species